AAAGCUGGCGACCGGCGCACGGGUGAGUAACACGUAUCCAACCUGCCUCAUACUCGGGGAUAGCCUUUCGAAAGAAAGAUUAAUAUCCGAUAGCAUAUAUUUCCCGCAUGGGUUUUAUAUUAAAGAAAUUCGGUAUGAGAUGGGGAUGCGUUCCAUUAGUUUGUUGGGGGGGUAACGGCCCACCAAGACUACGAUGGAUAGGGGUUCUGAGAGGAAGGUCCCCCACAUUGGAACUGAGACACGGUCCAAACUCCUACGGGAGGCAGCAUG
rnacentral:rRNA from 1 species